UACGUAGGGGGCUAGCGUUGUCCGGAUUUAUUGGGCGUAAAGAGCGUGUAGGCGGCCAGGUAGGUCUGGUGUGAAAACUCGAGGCUUAACCUCGAGAUGUCAUCGGAAACCAUUUGGCUAGAGUCCGGAAGAGGAGAGUGGAAUUCCUGGUGUAGCGGUGAAAUGCGCAGAUAUCAGGAAGAACACCAAUGGCGAAAGCAGGUCUCUGGGCAUUAACUGACGCUGAGGAGCGAAAGCAUGGGGAGCGAACAGG
rnacentral:rRNA from 1 species